rnacentral:rRNA from 1 species
UACGAAGGGAGCUAGCGUUGUUCGGAAUCACUGGGCGUAAAGCGCACGUAGGCGGAUGUGUCAGUCAGGGGUGAAAUCCUGGAGCUCAACUCCAGAACUGCCUUUGAUACUGGGGAUCUCGAGUCCGGGAGAGGUGAGUGGAACUCCGAGUGUAGAGGUGAAAUUCGUAGAUAUUCGGAAGAACACCAGUGGCGAAGGCGGCUCACUGGCCCGGUACUGACGCUGAGGUGCGAAAGCGUGGGGAGCAAACAGG